rnacentral:rRNA from 1 species
UCAAAAACAUCGCUCUUUGAGAAACUUAUAUAAAGAGUCGAACCUGCCCAGUGAAUAAUUUUAACGGCCGCAGUACCCUGACUGUGCAAAGGUAGCAUAAUCAUUUGCCUUAUAAUUGAGGGCUAGAAUGAAUGGUUUGACAAGAGCAAAGCUGUCUCUAUAAAAUUUAUUAGAAUUUGGUGUUUAGGUGAAGAAACUUAAAUGGAAUUGAAAGACAAGAAGACCCUAUCGAGCUUUAAAUAAAGUUUUUAAGAAUAUUUAGUUUUAAAUUUAUUUUGAUGAUAAUUUUUUGGUUGGGGCGACUGAGGAAUAAAAGAAGCUUCCUUAUUGAAAAUGAACUAUUAGUUUUGAUCCAAUAAAUUGAUUAUAAGAAAUAGUUACCGUAGGGAUAACAGCAUAAUCUUUUUUAAGAGUUCUUAUCGAAAAAAAGGUUUGUGACCUCGAUGUUGGACUAGGGUAUCCUGAAGGUGUAGAAGUCUUCGAGGGUUAGUCUGUUCGACUAUUAAUAUCCUACGUGAUCUGAGUUCAGACCG